GUAGGUGGCAAGCGUUGUCCGGAAUUAUUGGGCGUAAAGCGCGCGCAGGCGGUUCUUUAAGUCUGAUGUGAAAGCCCACGGCUCAACCGUGGAGGGUCAUUGGAAACUGGAGAACUUGAGUACAGAAGAGGAAAGCGGAAUUCCACGUGUAGCGGUGAAAUGCGUAGAGAUGUGGAGGAACACCAGUGGCGAAGGCGGCUUUCUGGUCUGUAACUGACGCUGAAGCGCGAAAGCGUGGGGAGCAAACAGGGAUUAGAUACCCUGGUAGUCCACGCCGUAAACGAUGAGUGCUAAGUGUUAGGGGGUUUCCGCCCCCUUAGUGCUGCAGCUAACGCAUUAAGCACUCCGCCUGGGGAGUACGGCCGCAAGGCUG
rnacentral:rRNA from 1 species